rnacentral:ribozyme from 1 species
UAGAAUAACAAAAAGAUGGUUAUCUUAGCGACACCAAUGACAGGAGAAGAAAUAGAAGAAGAAAGAAAGCAAAACUUGGCGAAGGAGGAAAGAAAAAAGAAG